rnacentral:rRNA from 1 species
CCCCUUAACAUAUCAAUAACGGAGGAAAAGAAACCAACAGGGAUUGCCUCAGUAACCGAGUGAAGCGGCAAAAGCGUCAAAUUUUAAAGCUGGCUUCGGUGUNCGCGUUGUAAUUUUGUGAGGCNUCUCCGGGUANGGCGCCGGCCUAAGUUCCUUGGAACAGGACGUCAUAGAGGGUGAGAAUCCCGUGCUUGGCUGGCUGUCCCCGUCCAUGUGAGGUUGCUUCGACGAGUCGAGUUGUUUGGGAAUGCAGCUCAAAAUGGGUGGUAAAUUUCAUCUAAAGCUAAAUAUUGGUGGGAGACCGAUAGCGCACAAGUAGAGUGAUCGAAAGAUGAAAAGCA